UGUAAUCUGGAGAAGUGCUUUCCGCGCUGGACCGUGUACAAGUCUCUUGGAAUAGAGCGUCAUAGAGGGUGAGAAUCCCGUCUUUGACACGGAACACCAGUGCUUUGUGAUGCGCUUUUCAAAAGAGUCGAGUUGUUUUGGGAAUGCAGCUCAAAAAUGGGGUGGUAAAAUUCCAUCUAAAAGCUAAAAUAUUGGCGAGAGACCGAUAGCGAAACAAGUACCGUGAGGGAAAGAUGAAAAGCACUUUGGAAAGAGAGUUAAACAGUACGUGAAAUUGCUGAAAGGGAAACACUUGAAGUCAGUCGCGUUGUUCAGAACUCAGCCUAGCCUUGGCUUGGUGCAUUUUCUGAAUAACGGGCCAGCAUCAAUUUUGACUGUUGGAUAAAGGCCGAGGAAAUGUGGCUCCUUUGGGAGUGUUAUAGUCCUUGGUUGCAUACAAUGGUUGGGAUUGAGGAACUCAGCAUGCCUUUAUGGUCGGGGUUCGCCCACGUUCAUGCUUAGGAUGCUGGCGUAAUGGCUUUAAAUGACCCGUCUUGAAACACGGACCAAGGAGUCUAACAUGCCUGCGAGUGUUGGGGUGGAAAACCCGAGCGCGCAAUGAAAGUGAAAGUUGGGAACCCUGUCGUGGGGAGCACCGACGCCCGGACCAGACCUUCUGUGACGGAUCCGCGGUAGAGCAUGUAUGUAGGAAACUCUGGUGGAGGCUCGUAGCGAUUCUGA
rnacentral:rRNA from 1 species